GGAAAUCUUAAAACCAGAGGCACACCAUUCAGGAGAGAAACUGGAGAUACACUUCUUCACAUUCAGACUGGUGUAUGUGUGUUGACUUAAUGCCACAAAUUAUGCAAAGCCAUUGUGCCAGUUAACCAAAGGCUUGCUUGAAGAGUAAGCAAAGGCAUGUGGCAUAAUUGAAGAAUCUGAAAAGUUUAUGUCUUGCUUCCGGGAGUCUGCUCCUCAUGAUUGGAACAUAUUGAUUGAUUUAACUUUAAUAAUGUCUUGCUUGAGCAUCGAACUAAUGUUCAUGGUG